CAAGGAAUAGUUUAAAUAGAAUGUCAGCUUUGGGUGUUGAUGGUGGGGGGUUAGCUCCUUCCUUGA
rnacentral:tRNA from 1 species